GGUUGCCUGCAUUGAGAAAAAUCUGAAUUACGAAAAAUGUUCUGAUGUUUGUAAAAUGAUAUUUUAUUUCUGUACUAUUAAUAUUUACUUGUUAUUUCUUGACUGUGACAGCAGUCUCAUAGCCUGUAAAGUCAUUGAGGUUUUGCAGUAACAGUUUCCAAAAAUGAUAUAUGAGGUGCCCAUGUAGUGUGAAAUAUUGUGGUUCAAAUAACUGAAGACGAAGUGGAAUGAACAAUGAACUGUGUGUAGUAUUUUCUCUGCAGCAGUAAUUCUACUUGAUAUAUAGUCCUAUAUUUGAGAAAAGUGUUUAUUUUUUGGACAUUUUCCCCAUGAUAUUCUUACCUUAGAGUCAUUCACCAUUUUAUGGCAAGUGUAUGUGAGCAACUUUGUUUACAAGUGGUUGGCAAGCAGAGAAGAUACACUCUGCCAUCUCCUUACAAAGUACACUUAGUAUUAAAACUUUGACUUGAAGGUUAAUGUCAGAAGUGAUUGAUCUCUUGGAGGCUAUUUUACAUGUUUGAAACAUGAUUACUGUUAACUCUUUCAUCUCCAGUAUUUUCAGUAAUACUCUGCUGGAAAAUGUUGGUGUUAAAAAGUCACAAUACCCAAUAUUUUUUUACAAGGUAAAGAAAAUUAACUUUUGUAAAUGUUAAGAUGUUGGUUAAUAGAUGUACCUGACUUCACAGAUGCAGUAUUAAUGUUAAGAAAUUUGUUUUUAAUCAGGCAGACAUGUUUCAAAUGAUAUUUCAUAUUACUUCUGAUAUGUUUGAGACUUAUUUUAAAUGCAAGUUUUCUAAAACAUAGCUUCGAGUUUUAAUUUAAGUUAGUCAUAAGUUGUCUAUGGUUUGCUGUGCUUGAUCCUAGUGUUAUUCUUUGAGACUUUCCAAUUGUUUCUUCCAUGAGCUCUGGAAAUGGCAUAUGAGUUUUAUUUCAGGAAAGGGGUUAGAAUUCAUAAUUCCUGCUUAAUUUAAAAUAAUUGAUUAUAUAUUAUUAUGCAUUUAUUGGUUUGUAUCAAAAGUGCAUGCCAUAGGCUUGCUUUAAGAGAGAUAAAAGAAGGGGUAUUUGUAAGGGUUGGAAUCAUGUGUAAUUUUUUUUAGAACAGUAUUUAUGUAGUUUAAUUUACUUUUUACAGUAGUUUGAUUCUGACAGUAAAGAUACUCAGAUUAAUUUUAACUGUAUGAGAUGACAUGGAACAUAAAACCAUAUAUUUAGUGAACUCAUGCAUUAUUUUCGAUUUGUAACUUAUACAUUCUGUGCUGUGUCAGAAUAAGGUUAUACAUGGUAACUGUACAUUUUUACUGUUAAGGUCAAUGUUUAAUGUAAAGUGUAGUCUGGGUCAGAACUGUUGCCAGCUUAAAUUUUUAAUUUACAGAUAAUCCAUCUAUCUUUUAAGCCUUGGCAUAGGUUGGUGCUAAUAUUGUAGGAUUUGAGGUUUUCACAGUAAUGUGAAUAUAGAUGGUGAUAUCUUGGUUAUUGUGCUAUGUUGCAUUUUGGCUGUGUGCUGGAAUUUCUGAGGAACAUGUUCCUCCACCUUCAGGACAGAACUUAGCCCUAAAGAUGGAGGCACAAUGUUCCUUCAAAAUGAUGGCACAGCUAAAGUGCUACAUGGCACAGCAACCCAGAAGUCCACCACGGCUUGGGCUAAUGUUGUGUAAUUCAUUUUGUUUUCUGCUUUUCACAAUUUGUUUAAGGCACUUUUAUGGCUCAGGCUUAAAGACUGAUUUUGUAAAUAAUUAUACAUAUUGGGAAUAAACAUUUUUUUAUUUAAAAAUUGA